rnacentral:rRNA from 1 species
CUGCUGCCUCCCGUAGGAGUCUGGGCCGUGUCUCAGUCCCAGUGUGGCUGGUCGUCCUCUCAGACCAGCUACUGAUCGUUGCUUUGGUGAGCCGUUACCUCACCAACCGGCUAAUCAGUCAUCGGCCGCUCCGCUCGCGAGAGGCCCUUGCGGGUCCCCCUCUUUCUUCCGUAGAACACAUGCGGUAUUAGCCAACCUUUCGGCUGGUUGUCCCCCACGAGCGGACACGUUCCGAUGUAUUACUCACCCGUUCG